ACUUCUUCAGUAUACGAUGUACUUUUACCUUCCAAGUAAAGAGAUUAAUUAAAUUAAAAGAAGA
rnacentral:tRNA from 1 species